rnacentral:rRNA from 1 species
GAUGUUAGCGGCGGACGGGUGAGUAACACGUGGGUAACCUGCCUGUAAGACUGGGAUAACUCCGGGAAACCGGAGCUAAUACCGGAUAGUUCCUUGAACCGCAUGGUUCAAGGAUGAAAGACGGUUUCGGCUGUCACUUACAGAUGGACCCGCGGCGCAUUAGCUAGUUGGUGGGGUAAUGGCUCACCAAGGCGACGAUGCGUAGCCGACCUGAGAGGGUGAUCGGCCACACUGGGACUGAGACACGGCCCAGACUCCUACGGGAGGCAGCAGUAGGGAAUCUUCCGCAAUGGACGAAAGUCUGACGGAGCAACGCCGCGUGAGUGAUGAAGGUUUUCGGAUCGUAAAGCUCUGUUGUUAGGGAAGAACAAGUGCGAGAGUAACUGCUCGCACCUUGACGGUACCUAACCAGAAAGCCACGGCUAACUACGUGCCAGCAGCCGCGGUAAUACGUAGGUGGCAAGCGUUGUCCGGAAUUAUUGGGCGUAAAGGGCUCGCAGGCGGUUUCUUAAGUCUGAUGUGAAAGCCCCCGGCUCAACCGGGGAGGGUCAUUGGAAACUGGGAAACUUGAGUGCAGAAGAGGAGAGUGGAAUUCCACGUGUAGCGGUGAAAUGCGUAGAGAUGUGGAGGAACACCAGUGGCGAAGGCGACUCUCUGGUCUGUAACUGACGCUGAGGAGCGAAAGCGUGGGGAGCGAACAGGAUUAGAUACCCUGGAUGAGUGCUAAGUGUUAGGGGGUUUCCGCCCCUUAGUGCUGCAGCUAACGCAUUAAGCACUCCGCCUGGGGAGUACGGUCGCAAGACUGAAACUCAAAGGAAUUGACGGGGGCCCGCACAAGCGGUGGAGCAUGUGGUUUAAUUCGAAGCAACGCGAAGAACCUUACCAGGUCUUGACAUCCUCUGACAACCCUAGAGAUAGGGCUUUCCCUUCGGGGACAGAGUGACAGGUGGUGCAUGGUUGUCGUCAGCUCGUGUCGUGAGAUGUUGGGUUAAGUCCCGCAACGAGCGCAACCCUUGAUCUUAGUUGCCAGCAUUCAGUUGGGCACUCUAAGGUGACUGCCGGUGACAAACCGGAGGAAGGUGGGGAUGACGUCAAAUCAUCAUGCCCCUUAUGACCUGGGCUACACACGUGCUACAAUGGACAGAACAAAGGGCUGCAAGACCGCAAGGUUUAGCCAAUCCCAUAAAUCUGUUCUCAGUUCGGAUCGCAGUCUGCAACUCGACUGCGUGAAGCUGGAAUCGCUAGUAAUCGCGGAUCAGCAUGC